UAAUAAAAACUUCCUGGGGCCGAAAAGUUUUGUAUCAAGCCCAUGUUUGUAUUUUCCGUUGUUAAGUCAAACCAUCGACUGUCCGUUGAUUCCAACAGUGUGGCCCAUUUGAUAAGUGGUCCGGUCUGAUUUUUGUGCCAGGUGAUCUUCUCGGUGGGGCCGACGGCCUUAAUGGUGCCGAUCUCCUACACAGGUGGCGUGUUGCCGGAAAAGAUGGUACGGUACCACGAGUUGAGCUACCUUGCCUCAAGUGAUCAGUUCUCUAUCCGAAGAAGAAAAAACCCCUAAACGACUUCAUUCAUACUUCUCUCAUUUCAUCAUCAUCAUCAUCAUCAUCAUCGUUCAAACGGCAUGGAAUCCUCCAACUCCUCCAAGGUCGAGAAUUCAAUUGGUUACAGCAGCAGCAGCAGCAGCAGCAGCAGCAAUGCGUUGAAGAAGGCUAGGUUGCAGUCCAUGCUCUCCGCCCUUCUCGAGGAUCCCGUGCUCUCCGACAUACCGAAGAAACCAUCUCUCUCUGAUGUCGAAACCUUAAUAAACUUGGAAAUGGGCAGCGCCAUGAAAAUCUCCGUCCUCAAGAUGGACGACACCUCCUUCGAUGUUGCAGUGUCGAACUCUGCCACAGUCAAGGAUUUGAAAUUGGCUAUAAAAAAGAAAACGGAUGAAAUGGAGCAAUCACAGAUGGGUCACCGCCACAUUUCAUGGAGGCAUGUCUGGGCAAAUUUUUGUCUCUCUCACCACAAUGAGAAGCUCAUUGAUGACAACGCCAUUCUUCAGGAUUUUGGCAUACGCAAUAGCUCUCAGGUGCACUUUGUUCCUUGUGUCGUGUCAAGGGUUACUCAGAGGCACUCACGGAGGAAAAAACACCGAUUCUUUCACGGCCUGAGCAAGCGCUUAUGAGUUGUGGCUGACACAUCACUUGGAUCAACAUGCCAUGUACCUACAUGACGUACACAAGGGUUUCCUUUGCUCUUGCCAUUCAUCCUUGGGUCACAGGCACGCUAACGAGCGCACAUGUCAUGUGUCUGCACGUAAACAGCGAUGACUGUUGCUACUCUGUUGGAAGCCCAGUCUGUGUCCAUGCUGAAAACCCACCUGCUAUGUCAGUGACGCCAGUGAAGCCCUGCAGGAGAAGAAAGUACCCAUCAAUCUGCUGUAGAAAAGCUAUGCUAUUGUAAAUGCAAAAUAGAUGCAGAAAGCAGCUCUUUCGAUUCAGAUGCAUAUGGAAUGCAAAAGAAUCGCAAGAAAUUCAGGAAUGUAAAGAGGCUACACAGGACUUUGAAAGUUGGAACACAAGAUGGUCUCUGUAUCAAAGAAAUGACUAAGGAUCAGUUGGCUCAGAAAUCCCCCAAAACAUGGGAUUAUCCUGUUAAUUCUGAUUUCGUCUGGCACCAUGCAUUCCAUGUAAGAAUAGCACCCGUGGCCCUCGUUUUAUCAUCCUGUAUUACCAUUACUCCGAAAUGGUUAUUACCGAUCAAGAAUCAUGAUAACAAGGGAGAUAGUCUAAUGGGCGUAACCUAAACCCAAUUUUGGGGCAUUUCCCUA